rnacentral:rRNA from 1 species
AAAGUCUCGACGGAGCACGCCGCGUGAGUGAUGAAGGUUUCGGAUCGUAAAACUCUGUUGUUAGGGAAGAACAAGUGCCAUAUAACUGAUGGCACCUUGACGGUACCUAACCAGAAAGCCACGGCUAACUACGUGCCAGCAGCCGCGGUAAUACGUAGGUGGCAAGCGUUGUCCGGAAUUAUUGGGCGUAAAGCGCUCGCAGGCGGUUCUUUAAGUCUGAUGUGAAAUCUUACGGCUCAACCGUAAACGUGCAUUGGAAACUGGGGAACUUGAGUGCAGAAGAGGAGAGUGGAAUUCCACGUGUAGCGGUGAAAUGCGUAGAGAUGUGGAGGAACACCAGUGGCGAAGGCGACUCUCUGGUCUGUAACUGACGCUGAGGAGCGAAAGCGUGGGGAGCGAACAGGAUUAGAUACCCUGGUAGUCCACGCCGUAAACGAUGAGUGCUAGGUGUUAGGGGGUUUCCG